UCAACACAAUUAAAGAACAAAUCUUGGAUCUUCACUGCCAUGAGGUAAUCACUGAGAUACUGUUUUUACUUGGUGGAUGAUAGGUGUAGACCUAAUUGAGAUCACUAAGCUUAAUUUUACAUAAGGUUCUAUAUCUUGGUUGACAAAAUUUAUAUAAUUUGAUUGUGAAGCAUAUAUUUUUUUUCAGUUACUGCACCUACAAGGAUAACCAGUUAUGAUGAUAAUGAAACAUCAUUGAUGGAGAUAAUCAAACUAGAACAAUGACUUCUCUCCUAUAUAAUUGAAAAUCCUUUCAAUGUCAGACUUCCGAGGUUUUAGCGUACCUGGCUGCGUGUGAUGAUACAAUUCUCCUAGCAGGUGCAACUUGCAAAUCAUAAUCAACUCAUCGACCAUUACAGCUCGAAGCAUCCAAAGGAGAAGCCUCCCAGCGAAUCGUAGUGAUUCAUCUUCAAGUUACGUCUGAAGAUUGAAAAGUUACACUUUAUGUUCCACCCGAAAGCGUUUGUCAACUUAAAUUGAAACUUCUGUGUGCGUCUAUCUAUAUUCUCUAUCUUCAUUUUCCUUGGAGAACCGUUAUGGUAUUGCUCUUUGCUACUGGAUAAAUUUCCUCUGCACAAUAAUCUGUCAGUUUAUUAUAAGUCAAUGAAUUGUUUCAAUCCCUACUUGUA